rnacentral:rRNA from 1 species
UAAGGAAUAUUGGUCAAUGGAGGCAACUCUGAACCAGCCAUGCCGCGUGAAGGAUUAAGGCCCUCUGGGUUGUAAACUUCUUUUAUAUGGGAAGAAAUGUACUUUUUCUAAAGUGCUUGACGGUACCAUAGGAAUAAGCACCGGCUAACUCCGUGCCAGCAGCCGCGGUAAUACGGAGGGUGCAAGCGUUAUCCGGAUUUACUGGGUUUAAAGGGUGCGUAGGCGGAUGAAUAAGUCAGUGGUGAAAUCUCCGAGCUUAACUCGGAAACUGCCGUUGAUACUAUUUGUCUUGAGUGUGGGAGAGGUUGAUGGAAUUCCAGGUGUAGCAGUGAAAUGCGUAGAUAUCUGGAAGAACACCAGUGGCGAAGGCGGUCAACUGGCCCAUAACUGACGCUCAUGCACGAAAGCGUGGGGAGCAAACA